GCCCUCAUAGCUCAGUCGGUAGAGCGCAUCCUUGGUAAGGAUGAGGUCACCAGUUCAAAUCUGGUUGAGGGCUCCA
rnacentral:tRNA from 1 species